GAUCGUGUGAAGGAGUUUUUUUUCUUUUCUUCAUAGAGCAUUUUUUAAUGCUUCCAAAUAAAAUGUUUACCACUACAGCAAUAAAUAUGGACGCUCUAAAGCCGCCCUGAUGACGAUAUUUGUUUGGUUAUGAUGGAUCAUGUCCUUCAUUGUAAAUGAAUCCAACAGAGAAACUCCAGCUCAAGGAUCAGCUCCAGCAGGUUGUGUACCGCCUGAUACUGGACCAUAUCAGCCUUGGGUUAACCCAGAACUUAAGGGGUCAAUGGAGUAUGAAGUCAUGUCCUUGAUUGAAAAUAUGAGUGGAAGAGUGGGUGUUCAUAAUCAUGGUUUCUUUAAUGUAUAAAUAAAAUUCAUGGA